GGUCAUCCUUGACCGCUAAGGCCGAGUGCUGUCACCUUGACAACCUGUCUCAGGCAGGCCAUCCUGCGCCAACUGUUUGUCUCCCCCAGUCCCGAAAUAUUCACCGUUGACCUCAGAGUCACAGCCUCGAGCUCGACACCUGCGGGGCUAAAGGAAGGGUUUGCUUCUAAACUGUCUGGGACACGCUUAUUCUUGCACGUAGACGUGCAGAUGCUUAUAGAGGGUUCCUAAUAUUUGCGAGACUCAGUGCACUUGGGAAAUCAGAGGGAACCCGACCAAGUCGGGAGGGAAGAAAGUGAACAAAUUCAUCAGAUGCAUUUUUACCCAGAUAUCUGAUUGAACACGACAUAGAGCUGGGGACAGUCUUCUUCUAACUGACUGGGGCCUUUCUGAAGAUUUGGGCCACUCUUCUAAAGGACUGGGGCCUUAUCUAGGCCUGAACAGCAACAGGGUCUUUUCCAAUGAGUUGGCUGUUUGCGUCAGGUGGCCAAAGUAUUGGAGCUUCAGCUUCAGCAUCAGUCCUUCCAGUGAAUAUUCACGGUUGAUUUCCUUUAGGAUUGACUGACAGAGGAUGAGAUGGCUGGACAGCAUCAUCAAUUCAACGGACAUGAACUUGGGCAAACUCUGGGAGAUAGUGAGGGACAGGGAGGCCUGGUAUGCUGCAGUCCAUGGGGUAGAAAAGAGUCGGAUAUGACUUGGCAACUCAACAACAAUGUCUCACUUAAGGAAAACAGCAGAAUCUUCAUCUCUGCUGGCAGAGAGAGAAUGCACCUUCAAGAAGCCAGUGCAGGUGGAGCAGAACCGAC
ensembl:lncRNA